UAUUGGAUUUUCGGUCAAUACAUUGAAAAAUCGGAAUCAUUUUGAUGGGUAUUUACUGGCAGAAAGCCCGGUUUUAUUUAUUUAUGCUACCCGUGGGCCGCCUUGAAGUACGCUUAUAUAAAUAUAUGUCAUUUUUCCUUGAAGCGGCUGGUCAUCAACAGUCGUCAAGAUAAGGUUAAUAGCCUCAAGUUUUUGUUCCCAACGCAAAUUCCUUCAACGACCAUAUCAAUUCAUUACACAAGAAACGAGCAGAAGGGCAUCUUGCUGCGCAUGUCCCGUAAAUUUUAGUUCGAUGCGAGAAACCGCUGGCAUGUGCCUGUGUUGGUAAUCGCGAAAGAAAAGAAGCAGGAAAAUACUUCGGAAAACAACAAUGGAUCGAGUAUUUGAGACAACUUUUCUCGUCAUUUUUCCCGCUGUAACUUAGAUGGAAGCGGCAAAGUCUUAAAAUUGUUGUGUGUGAAUCCCAACCGGCGGGGCUGAUUACUAAAACAAAAAGGGCCAAUGUCAAGUUAAGAAAGGUGAGACAACGUUAGUACUAGAGAUACGGUCGUUACAUGAAAGAGCUUGUUAGGAAUGGAGGAAUAAUUAUGGAUUUUAUCAGAGUAAGGAAAAGUCUUUUCAAUCAUUAGUCUUGGAAAUAUCAUUAGAUAUGAUCAAUGAUGCGGAGAAACUGUGAGUUAAAACAAGUGCUAGUUUGGGCUUCCAGUUGUAAUAUGAAUAGUCAACUAAAUCAAUUAUUUCCUAAUCACAUUCAUUCUAUCAUUUCCACUGCACAAAAAAAUCGUAUACACUCUUUUUAACCUUAUUCUCCAACCCUUUAAAUUACAAGAGUUAUGUGACAAUUUGAUGGUCCGAAAAGACUCUUAUUACAUGCUCAACAAUAAAGAACCAGUAAGGCUGAUAUUUAACAGUGAGG